UACGAAGGGGGCGAGCGUUGUUCGGAAUUACUGGGCGUAAAGAGCGUGUAGGCGGCCAGGUAGGUCUGCUGUGAAAACUCGAGGCUCAACCUCGGGCUUGCAGUGGAUACGGGCAGACUAGAGUGCGGUAGGGGAGACUGGAAUUCCUGGUGUAGCGGUGGAAUGCGCAGAUAUCAGGAGGAACACCAAUAGCGAAGGCAGCUCGCUGGGACGUUACUGACACUGAGGCGCGAAAGCGUGGGGAGCGAACAGG
rnacentral:rRNA from 1 species